rnacentral:rRNA from 1 species
CGGGGGGGCAAGCGUUGUUCGGAAUUACUGGGCGUAAAGGGUUCGUAGGUGGCCAACUAAGUCAGACGUGAAAUCCCUCGGCUCAACCGGGGAACUGCGUCUGAUACUGGUUGGCUCGAGUGCAGGAGAGGAACGCGGAAUUCCAGGUGUAGCGGUGAAAUGCGUAGAUAUCUGGAGGAACACCGGUGGCGAAGGCGGCGUUCUGGACUGCAACUGACACUGAGGAACGAAAGCCAGGGGAGCAAACGGGAUUAGAUACCCCGGUAGUCCUGGCCCUAAACGAUGAAUGCUUGGUGUGGCGGGUAUCGAUCCCUGCCGUGCCGAAGUUAACGCGAUAAGCAUUCCGCCUGGGGAGUACGGUCGCAAGGCUG